rnacentral:lncRNA from 1 species
CACCCCUUUGUACCCCCAGGGACCCGUAUUUCCCUCUUCCGUGUUGGGGAUGCUUCGGUGCAAAUGUUUGAAAAGUAUGUCCUGGCUCUAGAAUCAGAAAGAUUCUGCCUUUGACAUAUGAAUUUGGAGGAGCACAAAUGUUCGUCCAUAGCAUCAUUUAAUCUCUCUAAGCCUAUUUCUCAUCAAAAAAGUGGUGAUUUAAGUCUAUAUACCCACAAGGCAAAGAAACCCGAAAUGCAUUCCUAAACUUCUUAGGCCUCUCGGAUUACAGCUGAUACUCAUCAUUGGCAAUAAUUAUAUUCUGUAAGGUCCCCUCAAAGACUGAACUAGAACUAGUGGAUACUGAAUUAUUGCUUUUAGGGAAACUUGGGGUCAGGGUCCUGUGAGCCUCUGGUCACAUUUUUUUUUUUUUUUUUUUUUUUUUAGACAAAGUCUGGCUCUUUCGCCCAGGCUGGAGUGAAGUGGUGCGAUCUCGGCUCACUGCAACCUCUGCCCUCCAGGUUCAAGUGAUUCUCCUGCCUCACCGUCCCAAGUAGCUGGGAUUAUAGGUACACACCACCACGUCUGGCUAAUUUUUGUAUGUUUAGUAAAGACGGGGUUUUGCCAUGUUGGCCAGGCUGGUCUCGAACUCCUGACCUCAGGUGAUUCACCCACCUCGGCCUCCCAAAGUGCUAGGAUUACAGGCGUGAGCCACCAUGCCCAGCCUCUGGUCACAUUUAUUAGUCAAUGAAUAAACAAUUCUCCUUUAUGUGUGUUUCUGUUUAAAUAUACAUCAUUUUGUGUCUAUUGCUGAUUAAUUAUCUCAUGCCUGCACGAAGUGUAUCUAACACAUGUGUUUUCUCCAUGGGGCAGGUUCUUGUGCUUAGAACAACAGAUAGCACUUUAGUGCUAUUCUGGAGCCAGGGCCAUUUUAAACAAAAUCACCUAGAAGAAACAUGAAAAUGCAAAACCAUAGCACCAAAUAGACUUCGAAAAAAUGUGUUUAUGACAUAAGAGCUGAAGCAAGAUGGCAGUUCCUUGUUCAGCCUCAACUGGGAACAUACAUUCAAAGCAUUUUUUUUUUUUUUUUUUUUUGGCCACUGGGCCUGUCCAUAAAUGAACUCAAAAGGCCCUGACUGGCCGGGCGCGGUGGCUCACGCCUGUAAUCCCAGCACUUUGGGAGGCCAAGGAGGGUGGAUCACAGGGUCAGGAGAUCAAGACCAUCCUAGCUAACACAGUGAAACCCCAUCUCUACUAAAAAUACAAAAACAAAAUCAGCUGGGUGCGGUGGCACACGCCUGUAGUCCCAGCUACUCGGGAGGCUGAGGCGGGAGAAUGUCGUGAACUCAGGAGGCUGAGCUUGCGGUGAGCCAAGAUCACGCCACUGCACUCCAGCCUGGGCAACAGAGCAAGAUUCUGUCUCAGAUUAAAAAAAAAAAAAGGCCCUGAGUGCUGAUUUUGGAUUUACAAAUACAUUUAAGCAAGUUGGCAAAUUUGCAAAUACAGAAUCUGCAUAUAAUGAGGGUGAGGAUGAGCUGUCUGUGCAGCUCGGGUCCCUGUGACCCUGUGACUGGCUGUCAUCUGUUUGGGUCACUGAACAUUUUGCAGUUGUUGGAUGUGGGGGCAUGAGGGUGGUCUCAUGGGGCUCAAUCUGCCCCAGCCUCCUCUCAGUCUUGGCAAAGCCAUGCUGGAACACUGAGAACUCGAUUUUUCUUUUCUCUGAAAAAAAUAUUUCUACAUUGGGGUGAUCUUCAAUCGCAGGUCUUCACUCUGCUAUUUUCUCUCCAAUGAGAAAAAAACGAAGUUCACCACUGGGGCCUGUGGCCAUUCGUGGACCAGGGAUAUUGGUCCCCAAUGCCUUGGAGAAUCGUGGGUCUCCGAUCAGGGCAGAGAGAGCAUGCCAGCCAUGUCCCUGCCCCCCACUCACCCACCCCCUGCCCAAGCUCCGGUCAUCACUGCUCUCUGAGGGUGGCUGAGGCCCAGAGCUUCUUCUAAACAGCCCAUUGUUCCUUCUUGCUUCUGGGACCCUCCUCUGCUAAUUCCUCACAGCAGCACCAGCUACAAAAUGUGUGGGUUCCGGUGCAAAAUGAAAACACAGGCCUUUUAUUCAGAAGUAGUAUCAAGUUGGUGGUUGGAAAGCAUUGGAACAAGCUUGGGCCCUUCUUAAGUGGCCGCACAGACCCAUGAAGCCUGCCCUGCCUCAGAGCCCCAGGUCCUUUUCCUCCCCUCCUCCCACACCAUCCUGGUGGUCCUUGCUGCCUUAGGCAGAGCCACGUGUCCAUUUUGCGGGGCAGUGGCCCAGCUCUACCUACUAACGGCAUUCCUGGCAGGAGGAGAACUAUGAGUACUGGCCCAGUGGGCAUAGCCCCAAAAAGGAGCUUAACCCAUGAUCUGGCCAAGUGCAUCCACAGAGAGACUUGGGGUGGUCCCAUGGGGCUCAUGACUAAAGCUGUGCUCAAGGAGUCAGCCAGGUGGGGAAGGAGCAUCCACGCAGUGCUGAAAACCCUGUGCAGGGUGCCUCAGGGUGAAGGGAGGUGGAUUCGGCCAACAGAUGUGUUGAGCUCUAUGCAUCUGCUGGUGCUGUCCAUGGAGCUGGUAACUCAAAGAUCAAUAAGACAUAGUCCCCUUAGAGGAACAGGAAGUCAUUGGGAGGCACAAACCCAUAAAUGAAUGAUUACAACAAAAUGUAAUAAUAUCAACAUGGAAGUGUGUACAGGAGGGGGUUCUGACUCCCUCCCUUCCCUCCCCAUCCUGCCCUGGCCCCCAGAGGCCACUCCGCAGGUGGCAGAUGGUGGACUUCUCAGCCUCCAUAAUUGCGUGAACCAAUUCCCAUAAUAAAUCUCCUCUUAUGUCUCUAUGUAGCCUAUGGGUUCUGUUUCUCUGGAAAACUCUAAUAUGCCUCUGAUACUCUAUUUCUUUCAAUCCUGAGCAGGAGCUGUUGGCUACAAUGAAGUUUCCUCAGACAUAUACAUGUGUGACUGUCACUGUAACCCAUCACUCGCAGGGCUCCAUGUGGCCCAGUCACUGCUUGAUGUAGGACUGAAGGAAAUGGCAGCUGGAAUCCAGAAGCCACAAUGAUUCACAGAGAGCUUUGCCUAGAAGGCUACCCAUAAAUCCAGUGUAGGCUUCUCUUCCCCAUCUCAAAGUUUCCCAGGCACAGAAGUUGCUGAAAUCUCUCCACCUCUCCCCUCAUUGAUAUCCCCCACCAACCAGGGGGAACCCCAAACCUUUCUGCAGCCAAAAAUGACUCGGCCAGGCACGGUGGCUCACACCUGUAAUCCCAGCACUUUGGGAGACCGAGGCGGGCAGAUCACCUGAGGUUGGCAUUUGAGACCAACCUGGCCAACAUGGCGAAACCCCAUCUCUACUAAAAAUGAAAAAAAAAGAUUAGCUGGGCCUGGUGGUGGGCACCUGUAAUCCGAGCUACUCAGGAGGCUGAGGCAUGAGAAUUGCUUGAACCCAGGAGGUGGGAGUUGCAGUGAGGCAAGAUCGUGCCGCCGCACUCCAGCCUGGGCACCAGAGUGACACUCUGUCUCAAAAAAAACUCUCGAGACAUCUUUUCACAGGAACUGGACUGAGGACCUCAUUGCCACCCAUGGGACCCCAGGGAGCACGUAGUUCUCUCUCUGCUUUUCUUAUGAGGAUCGAUGGUGGAGUUUCCGGUGAAUGAAACUCUCUACCUGUUGCAUCCACGUCAAAAUAGGUAAGACAAAGAGGUGUUGCCUUGAGCCAUGCGAUUGGGCUGUUUUUGGAUGAUGGGACUAUGAGUGAGUUUUCCCCUUCCGCUUUUUACCUCUCUGUACUUUCCAUGUUUCCACCAGGGAGUGCCUUAUUACAAAAAUGAUCAGAACUAGAAGACAAAAAAAUAAUCAAAAGGGAAAUAAUUAGGCUUGAAUUGACAUGUAAGAUCCUAUUAUUGGCAAUCAGGGAUCAGGCUGGGAGUUCAGCUGGUGGGUGGCCAUUCUUCGGUGCAACAACUAUUUAUUGGAUGCCUUAACGAGGUGCGGGAGAGCUUGGGGUGAGAAUGGACGAGAUCUCUGUCUCGUGGAGCUUCCCUACCCGAGGCGCAGGCGGCCACCAGCCAAACUCCCAGACAGAUGGAGGCGCCGCCCCACUGGGAUUCCUCAACCAGGCGGUGAGUGUGGAAUACGGGACCCAGCCUGGGGUAGGGCUCAGAGGCAGGAAGCAUGGGAGGAAAGGGUGGGGAGGAUGAAACACACAAAUCCCAAUCAAAUACAGCAAAAUGUUUGCAGUUGUCAAAUCUGGGCUGUGAAUUCUCUGCACUCUUCUAUAUGUUCAGAUUCUUUUGCUUAGAUUAAAAAGUGGGUGUGAGGUGAUAGAAUGGAGACAGCAGGAGCGGACGGCUCUGCUGAGGAGUUUGGCACUGAAAGGGAACCGAGAAAUGGGUUGUGGCUGGAAAGGGUGGUCAAGGGAAAGACUGGAGUAUUUUUUGUUUUGUUUUGUUUUUAAUAUUUUGUUUUGAGGUAGCAGAGGGGGAGAGACUGAUACUGAGCGGGAGAGGAGGUCUGAGAGAAAUGCUUCCUGCAUUGUAACCUCAGAGGCAUUCAAACCAGAGCAACUCCAUCUUGAGUAGGGGCUGGGUAAAAUGAGACUGAGACCUACUGGGCGGCAUUCCCAGGAAGUUUGGUAUUCUAAGUCCCAGGAUGAGAUAGGAGGUUGGCACAAGAUACAGAUCACGAAGACCUUGCUGAUUAAACAGUUUGAGGCAAAGAACUCAGCCAAAUCCCACCAUAACCAAGUUGGUGACAGAGUGACCUCUGGUUGUCCUCACUGCUCAUUAUAUGCUAAUUAUAAUACAUUAGCAUGCUAAGAGACACUCCACCAGCGCCAUGACCGUUUACAAAUGCCAUGGCAACAUUCAGGAGUUACUCUUUAUGGUCUGAAGAGGGGAGGAACCCUCAGUUCCAGGAAUUGCCCACCCCUUUCCUGGAAAACUCAUGAACAAUCCACCCCUUGUUUAGCAUAUAAUCAAGAAAUAACUAUAAGUGUAAUCAGUGAGCAGCCCAUACCGCUGUUCUGCCACUGGAGUAACCACUCUUUUAUUCCUUUACUUUCCUAAUAAACUUGCUUUCACUUUGUCAGACCUCUGAGCCUAAGCUAAGCCAUCAUACCCCCAGUGACCUGCACUUAUACAUCCAGAUGGCCUGAAGCAACUGAAGACCCACAGAAGUGAAAAUAGCCUUAACUGAUGGCAUUCCACCAUUGUGAUUUGUUUCUGCUCCACCCUAACUGAUCAACAUACUUUGUAAUCUCCCCCACCCUUAAGAAGGUUCUUUAUAAUCUCCCCCACCCUUAAGAAGUUUCUUUGUAAUUCUCCCCACCCUUGAGAAUGUACUUUGUGAGAUCCACCCCCUACCACCAAAACAUUGCUCUUAACUCCACCACCUAUCCCAAAACCUAUAAGAGCUAAUGAUAAUCCCACCACCCUUUGCUGACUCCUUUUUUGGACUCAGCCCGCCUGCACCCAGGUGAAAUAAACAGCCAUGUUGCUCACACAAA